CUACGGGGUGCUCCAGUGGGGAAUAUUGCACAAUGGGCGCAAGCCUGAUGCAGCCAUGCCGCGUGUAUGAAGAAGGCCUUCGGGUUGUAAAGUACUUUCAGCGGGGAGGAAGGGAGUAAAGUUAAUACCUUUGCUCAUUGACGUUACCCGCAGAAGAAGCACCGGCUAACUCCGUGCCAGCAGCCGCGGUAAUACGGAGGGUGCAAGCGUUAAGCGGAAUGACUGGGCGUAAAGCGCACGCAGGCGGUUUGUUAAGUCAGAUGUGAAAUCCCCGGGCUCAACCUGGGAACUGCAUCUGAUACUGGCAAGCUUGAGUCUCGUAGAGGGGGGUAGAAUUCCAGGUGUAGCGGUGAAAUGCGUAGAGAUCUGGAGGAAUACCGGUGGCGAAGGCGGCCCCCUGGACGAAGACUGACGCUCAGGUGCGAAAGCGUGGGGAGCAAACAGGAUUAGAUACCCGUGUAGUC
rnacentral:rRNA from 1 species